rnacentral:lncRNA from 1 species
CUGAAGUGGGCAAGAAAGCUAGAAACUCAAGCAAAUUUGAGCUGAGGAAAAGCCCAGUUUUCAGUGAUGAGGAUUCUGACCUUGACUUUGAUAUCAGCAAAUUGGAACAGCAGAGCAAGUCAGGUAAAAGUUCCAGAAAUGUGAACAACAAAGAUUUUUUUGAUCCAGUUGAAAGUGAUGAAGACAUAGCAAGUGAUCAUGAUGAUGAGCUGGGUUCAAACAAGAUGAUGAAAUUGCUGAAGAAGAAGCAGAAGAAGGAAGCAUUUCUGAAAUAUGAAUGAAAAAAAUUACAUCUUUAGAAAAAGAGUUAUUAGAAAAAAGCCUUGGCAGCGUCGGGGGGAAGUGACAGCACAGAAGAGACCAGAGAAUAGCUUCCUGGAGGAGACCCUGCACUUUAACCAUGCUGUCUGGAUGGGUACAGUGCCCUCUUCUGCAAAGAGUUCACUUCUAUGCUUUUUCUGUGGUUCCAUUUCAUAGAAAGAUUUGGGGCGAUGUUUCUUUUCCCUUAACUUUUUAUUUUAAAAACUUGCAAACACAGAAAAGUUGAUAAAAUCAUACAGUGAACAUCUGUAUUCUAUUCAACUGGAUUCACUAGUUCACAUUUUGUCAUAUUUGUGUUCUCUUUUCCCCAUAUGGAAGAUUGUAUAUUUGCCCUUUUUCCCCCUGAAUCAUUUCAAAGUAAGUUGCCAGUAUCAUAGCAUUUCACUGUUAAGUACUUUUGCAGAUAUCUCCUAAGAACCAGGAUAUUCUCCUAUAUAAUCACAAUACCAUUAAUCCACCCAAAACAUUU